GGGAAUUUGUACAAACGAUGGAGUGCGUGGUUUAAUUCGACAGUACACGUGAAAUCUUACCAACUGCAUUCUACAUUUUACUAUAGUGUAGUGGGGGUACUGCAUGGCUGUCGUCAGCUCGUGCCUUAAAGUGUGGAGUUAAGUCUUCAAACGAGCGCAAUCUUUAUAUCUACAUUACAAAGUAUGUAGUUUGGUAAAAGCGGAUGUCAAGUCAAUAUGGUCUUUAUCGGUUGGGCAACACACGCGCUACACUAAAUAAAACAAAAAUUAUCACUUAGCAAUAAGGCAUAAGAUUCAAAAAUAUUACGUUCGAAUUGUAAUUUGUAAGUCAAUUACAUGAAGAUGAAAUCGUUAGUAAUCGGAAAUUAUUACGUUUCGGUGAAAAAAAAAUCAAAUUCUG
rnacentral:rRNA from 1 species